AGAAAAAGUGAUCCAGCAGCUCAAGCCCAGCUAGCGCGACGCACACUUUGUGGACUCCACACUCCAUACACACACACACACACACACACACACACACUCGCUUUACUUUGGCUACUAGAUCUAGAUCUAGAGCCUAGAUCUACUACGAGAUCUGACGCGAGCGAAACAGCUGUGGCGACUGACGGAAUGGAAAGUAAUAAAUGGUCCCCGAGUUAUUUCAAACUCUGAGAUCUGUCAUUGGAUGAUCAAGUGCACUCCUUUCUGAGGAACAAAUUGUUUAGUUUUGCUGAUCAGUGCAUAUUGUUUUAAUUCAUGUGCGAUAGGUAGAAUCUUACGAUUUGAAACUUUUCUUUGGCGUGUUUUGUGUAACGGCUGAGCUUGUUUUGGGGAUUGUUUUGGAGGAAGGAAAUGUAAACCAUCUAGAUUAUCUAGAUCUAGAUCUAGCUAGAGAUCUAGAUCUAGAUUCUAGAUCUAAUCUAGAUCUAGAUAAAAGAAAAUAAUUACGCGCGAGAGCGAAACUCUGAUUUAUCAGCAUUUUUAAAAUCUUUUUAUUUAAGGGAUGGGAAGUCCUAAUACGAGAAACAAAAUUCAUGAAGCAGAAUAAUUUCACCUUGAUCUAGAUCUAGAUUAGGUCUAUGCUUUCGAAAAACUACAGCACGAACCGAGGAUUGCACUCUUUUUAGUCUUUUUACUUUUAGCUCUUCUGAAAGAGAGGUAGGCCUUGCUUGAGUCCCUACUUUCGCUUUCUAACGGAAAAGGGACUGAUUUUUAUUCCGUAGCGUAAAAGAGUUCUCGAUAACCUGCGCAAAAAUAGCGCCGCAUUGUCGACUGCCGACACGGUGACCUACUUUCUGCGGUUGCUUCGAAAUCCCUUCACGACUUCAUGUGUAAAAAACCAACCCCAAAAAACCAACAGCCACACAUACACAUUACCGCAUCAGCUGGAUGUUUAUCUUAAUUUUAAACCAGGUAGGAAAAUCUCACGAUAAAUAGGACUGAACUAGGUUAUUUGUGUUGGCUUUUCACGUCUCUGACACAGUUAGUCUAAUAGUUAACGUGAACGCAGUGAAACCCCGUAGUCGAAUAGCACACAGAGCCAGUAUCAAGGAAUGUGUUGUGUGUAAGCCUACUGCUCCGGAAUUAUGUAUUGUGUGUUGGCACGGAGUGAGGCAGAAGAAGUUACGACGGACUAAUUCUAGGCUCUCUGUGGCUGCAGGGUUGACUUUGAACUUUAAAAGCAUUCGGUCCAUGUCGCUAUCAAUCGCAUAGUGGAUGCUUACGUGGAGUGUGGUGGCUGAUUCUGAAAUCGUAACUGCUGUGCUAAUUUGUGUGAAAACAACUCUGUGAUGACCCUUUUGGAUUUGUAUUGUAUGGUGGCUUUCAAACAAAAGACCUGUUGUUGAUAAUCUUUCUGGACAAAAGGAUUUGAUUCUUAUGUGCAGGAUUGAAGUCAAGCUCGCGGGAAUCUCUCCCAUCACGGUGACUGUCCUCCUCGGCGUCUCCCAUGUGGCCUGACGGGGUGACUUAAACCCUCGCCCGCCCGCCCUGCCCUGCCCACACCCUGCCCACUCGACCACCCUACCACCUGACGAUGCUGCCCACCACCUCGUGUAGCAAGCCUGACUAGGCAAGGACCAGAGAGAACAAGAGAGGAUAACAACGUUUGCUGGGCCUCAAAGGCCCUUUGUGUUGUCUCGCAAUCACGUGUGGCCCCUCCAGAAUCCCACCAAUCAGGACUCGCCCCUCAAAACAGAGACACUUUGACCUGUCCCCUUUCCCCCCUACAACAACUCACCCCGCCCCUUUCCUAUUCCCACCACUCGUUCAGCUCCCCCUCCCCUUCCCCCUCUUGAUCAGCACUUGCUCUCCCCCCUCCCUCCCCAAAAUCACUUG
rnacentral:lncRNA from 1 species